UAAUCAAAAUAGUGAAGAGAUAUGUACUCACAUAGUCACUCUCCACGGUUCCACUAGGUGGUGCAUCCCUCACUUGGUCCAUGGCCGCACUCCAACGAGCACAAGCGGGCUUCAUCAAAUCCCACCGGCCUUGAAGCGACCGGUAACUGCGAGAGAUGAACCCACUAUUCUUCGGCUUGAUCCUACAAUAGUUGUCCUCGAUCCUGUGCCAAU
rnacentral:lncRNA from 1 species